GUGAAGUAUGAAGUUAUGAGGAGAAAGGAACAGAGGACAACCAAACAGAGAAAGUGUAGCCGUAUCUACUAGAGCUGAAGACAUUCAGAUUUAUGAUCCAACAAUUCUACUCUGAAGUGCAGUGGUGUAUAUACUGCAACAAUGUGUACUCGUGUGCACUGAGAACUAGAUAUGAAAAAACCUUACAGAAAUAUACAUAAUAGCAAAAAAAAAAACUGGAAACAACAAAAAUGUUCAUUGACCAUAUACAAUGAUAAAUGUGGUAUACUCGUAGAAUGGAAAACUACACAACAUUGAAAAUGAACAAACUAAAACUGUACACAGCAACAUGAACGAAUUCCACAGAUAAUAUUGAGUGAAAGAUACCAGACACCAAAUAAUAUCCCAUACGAUUUCAUUUAUAUUAAAUGUUUUUUUUUUUGAGAUGGAGUCUCGCUCUGUUGCCCAGGCUGGAGUGCAGUGGCACAAUCUUGGCUCACUGCAACCUCUGCCUUUCAGGUUCAAGCUAUUCUCCCACUUCAGCCUCCCCAUUAGCUGGGACUACAGGUACCUGCCAGCACGCCCAA
rnacentral:lncRNA from 1 species